GUAACGUUACCGCACCUGUAGCACAGCAAUUCUUUUAAUACUAAGUAAAAAAUUAAAAUAAAAGAAAAUUUUAUCUUCGAAAUAGUCCUUAGACUAUUUCUGGUGGCAGCAACUACCGUAUUAAUCGGAAGUUUAAAUUUAUAUUUCAACUACUAUCGUUCGUUAUUCUUUUCGUUCAAAUUAACAAAAAACCCAAACAAAUAAAUACGUAACACUACCCACAAUUUUCCUGCACUUUUCUGCCGUGGUUGACAGAACAUUCAUAUGCAUCUGUUUCCUUUCUUUUUUUAUGGUCUGGAGUUUACUCCCUUUCCUUCCAAUAAUAAAGUGAGCGUCAGAAAGCAGAUUUUACAAUUGGGUCGAGUAUUUUAUUCCUGUAUUUGCCAAUAUAGGUAUUGAGACUAAAUAAUGAAGAAAAAUCCCUCUUCUUCCACGAAUUAUCAUCACAGACAGUCGAAUGCAACGGCUCAUUCCCUACUGCGGUGUUUUCGAAGCGAGAGAAAAGGAUUGUCAGUUUUGAAUAUAAAAAUAGAAGCAGUGUGCUACACUUCAUCAAAACUAAAUGCUAAAGUUAUAUACUUUAGCUGAAAUACGAUCUCAAAUGUUAGGAAAUAACAUAAUAUACUACUAGCGAAAAAAUAAAACGCUACAGAAAGCUCUCGAAACAAAUUUCAUUGUGUUUGCUGUUACUUUUCUAGCGAUAUAUGUAUUUCAAAUUCCGAUUGCCGCUUAUAGGUUGGAGAACUUAAUAACAGGAGUACAGGAUCCCUUGAUACCAUUCAAUUUCUAUAUGAAACGUUUUUCCCUAAUUUUUAUACGUAUAGAAAUAAUAGCGCGUAUACACUUAAAAUGGACAUACUAUAUAACUUAUGACGUAUGACUGUUUAGUGUAAUAAUAGCUGCAUCUACGUGUAGACUCUAACCCAGAAAACAUGACAUUUCCAAAAAGGAUAUUAAAUUGAAGUUAAGUUUCUAUUGCGAUGAACCAAGAAUCUAAUCCUUCUGGCCAUAUGGUUCACCGAGGGUCAAAAGUUUUUCAGAUGUUUCUCGUAGCGAAUACUGUUGACCAACUGAACCGGUUUAACCGUUCUUACUUCCCUUUGCACACCUCAGAAGUUGGGGAAAAAUUAGUAUUGACAAACAGGAGAAAGUCGUGGUGUUCGUGAGACUUUCAUUUAAAGGUGUUACGUAUUUGUAUUUAUUAUAUAUAUAUUUUUUUUUUAAAUUUGAUUGUCGUUAAUUUAAACGAAAAGAAAAUAAUGAAUGAACGAUAGUAAUCGAAAUAUAAAUUUAAACUUCCGAUUAAUACGGUAGUUGCUGCCACCAGAAAUAGUCUAAGGACUAUUUCGAAAAAUUUUUUUUUUUUAUUUUUAUUUAGUUUAUUUUAUUUAUUUCUCUCUUUUUUUUUUGGUGUUAAAAGAAUUGCUGUGCUACGGGUACAGUUGCGUCUGUCACGUUUAACAACGUCAAUGAGAUUCCAGAUCUAUGUCGCACAUUCGGUGCGAACUCAAACCUGAAGAACUUCGGAACGUUGUACCUCAACUCGGGGAUCGUCUAGUAGUAUCGUCGAUAGAAUUCCAGGCCUAUGUCGCUUAUUCGUGCGCACUCAAACCUGAAGAAUUCUGAAUUGUUAACAACGUCAAUGAAAUUCCAGAUCUAUGUCGCACAUUCGGUGCGAACUCAAACCUGAAGAACUUCGGAACGUUGUACCUUAACUCGGG